rnacentral:rRNA from 1 species
AUGACCGACGUGCCUUAUCGCUGCGAGAUACUCACCUUAGGAGGUGACACCGGAUGGAGGCCGUCGAUGUCGCCCCCAACUUGCUUCCGCUGCAACCGAAACUUCUCCGUCUCUCUCAACCGAAACUUGUAUUUCUUGUCCUCGUGGCAUAACAAUGGCAGCUUGCUUUUUUUUAGCGAAAUCUAUGCGUGGAGGCGGGAGAUCGAAGGCCCGCCAGGCCCGCUGCAUUGGACAACGGCCCGCCGCAUAACCGAGCUCAGUGGUGCUGUAUGCAUGGUUGUGCUGGAGAAGCCCAAGAACUAUUACGGACCAGCGAGCUAUCUCGGACGUGCCAACAUCUGGCUCUUAACCAAUUCAGUCAAACAGACAUGGAUCAAGGCGUACACGAUCCCUGUUUCCCCAUACACCUAUGAAUACAUUCCUUUGAGGGUGACACCUGACGGUGGUAAACUGAUCUUCUACUAUUUUAGCCACGAACAAGUAAAAGUACUUCAAGUCUACGAUCCUCACACGGAAAUAUGCACGACAAUGCGUAAGCUAGUCUACAUCGUCAAAAACAUUGGCGUCUGCAGCUUGCGCUAG